rnacentral:rRNA from 1 species
GACGAACGCUGGCGGCGUGCUUAACACAUGCAAGUCGAACGGAAAGGCCCUGCUUUUGUGGGGUGCUCGAGUGGCGAACGGGUGAGUAACACGUGAGUAACCUGCCCUUGACUUUGGGAUAACUUCAGGAAACUGGGGCUAAUACCGGAUAGGAGCUCCUGCUGCAUGGUGGGGGUUGGAAAGUUUCGGCGGUUGGGGAUGGACUCGCGGCUUAUCAGCUUGUUGGUGGGGUAGUGGCUUACCAAGGCUUUGACGGGUAGCCGGCCUGAGAGGGUGACCGGCCACAUUGGGACUGAGAUACGGCCCAGACUCCUACGGGAGGCAGCAGUGGGGAAUAUUGCACAAUGGGCGGAAGCCUGAUGCAGCAACGCCGCGUGCGGGAUGACGGCCUUCGGGUUGUAAACCGCUUUCGCCUGUGACGAAGCGUGAGUGACGGUAAUGGGUAAAGAAGCACCGGCUAACUACGUGCCAGCAGCCGCGGUGAUACGUAGGGUGCGAGCGUUGUCCGGAUUUAUUGGGCGUAAAGGGCUCGUAGGUGGUUGAUCGCGUCGGAAGUGUAAUCUUGGGGCUUAGCCCUGAGCGUGCUUUCGAUACGGGUUGACUUGAGGAAGGUAGGGGAGAAUGGAAUUCCUGGUGGAGCGGUGGAAUGCGCAGAUAUCAGGAGGAACACCAGUGGCGAAGGCGGUUCUCUGGGCCUUUCCUGACGCUGAGGAGCGAAAGCGUGGGGAGCGAACAGGCUUAGAUACCCUGGUAGUCCACGCUGUAAACGGUGGGUACUAGGUGUGGGGUCCAUUCCACGGGUUCCGUGCCGUAGCUAACGCUUUAAGUACCCCGCCUGGGGAGUACGGCCGCAAGGCUAAAACUCAAAGGAAUUGACGGGGCCCCGCACAAGCGGCGGAGCAUGCGGAUUAAUUCGAUGCAACGCGUAGAACCUUACCUGGGUUUGACAUGGAUCGGGAGUGCUCAGAGAUGGGUGUGCCUCUUUUGGGGUCGGUUCACAGGUGGUGCAUGGCUGUCGUCAGCUCGUGUCGUGAGAUGUUGGGUUAAGUCCCGCAACGAGCGCAACCCUUGUUCACUGUUGCCAGCACGUUAUGGUGGGGACUCAGUGGAGACCGCCGGGGUCAACUCGGAGGAAGGUGGGGAUGACGUCAAGUCAUCAUGCCCCUUAUGUCCAGGGCUUCACGCAUGCUACAAUGGCUGGUACAGAGAGUGGCGAGCCUGUGAGGGUGAGCGAAUCUCGGAAAGCCGGUCUCAGUUCGGAUUGGGGUCUGCAACUCGACCUCAUGAAGUCGGAGUCGCUAGUAAUCGCAGAUCAGCAACGCUGCGGUGAGUACGUUCCCGGGGC